CAGGUGGUGUUGGAAAGUCAGACUGUGACCCAGAACUUGUCUUUGGACUCGCCAUACAGCACUGUUUGGCUUUUUGUGAGAUUUCUGGCACUUCUUGUGGAUUGUGACAAAAUAGCAAACAAGCUUUGCUCUCAUAAAUAUGUUUGCCCAUUUGCACGACUUUUCCAGUAUGUGACCUCCAGAUCAAAUAAAGUCAUUACUGAGGACAUGUGGUCAUGUUUGAUGGUCAGUUGAGGAUGCUGUGCUGUGUAAACAGUUUAAAGUGCACCAUCUGCAGGAUUUUAGAAGAAUUGCAACACUUUACCAGCUGGAAAGCAAAC